rnacentral:rRNA from 1 species
UGGAGCCGUCCUUGAAAUACCACCCUUGUAGUGUUGAUGUUCUAACGUCGACCCCUAAUCGGGGUUGCGGACAGUGCCUGGUGGGUAGUUUGACUGGGGCGGUCUCCUCCCAAAGAGUAACGGAGGAGCACGAAGGUGGGCUAAUCACGGUUGGACAUCGUGAGGUUAGUGCAAUGGCAUAAGCCCGCUUGACUGCGAGAAUGACAAUUCGAGCAGGUGCGAAAGCAGGUCAUAGUGAUCCGGUGGUUCUGAAUGGAAGGGCCAUCGCUCAACGGAUAAAAGGUACUCCGGGGAUAACAGGCUGAUACCGCCCAAGAGUUCAUAUCGACGGCGGUGUUUGGCACCUCGAUGUCGGCUCAUCACAUCCUGGGGCUGAAGUCGGUCCCAAGGGUAUGGCUGUUCGCCAUUUAAAGUGGUACGCGAGCUGGGUUUAGAACGUCGUGAGACAGUUCGGUCCCUAUCUGCCGUGGGCGUUGGAAGAUUGAAGGGGGCUGCUCCUAGUACGAGAGGACCGGAGUGGACGAACCUCUGGUGUUCGGGUUGUGUCGCCAGACGCAUUGCCCGGUAGCUAAGUUCGGAAUCGAUAACCGCUGAAAGCAUCUAAGCGGGAAGCGAGCCCUGAGAUGAGUCUUCCCUGAUACUUUAAGUAUCCUAAAGGGUUGUCGGAGACUACGACGUUGAUAGGUCAGGUGUGUAAGUGCUGUGAGGCAUUGAGCUAACUGAUACUAAUUGCCCGUGAGGCUUAACCAUACAACACCCAAGGGGUUU